rnacentral:rRNA from 1 species
GUAUCGGCCUCCCUCCGCGCCAUCAGGAGAGUUGAUCCCUGGCUCAGAUUGAACGCUGGCGGCAGGCCUAACACAUGCAAGUCGAGCGGAAACGAGUUCACUGAACCUUCGGGGAACGUGAACGGCGUCGAGCGGCGGACGGGUGAGUAAUGCCUGGGAAAAUUGCCCCUGAUGUGGGGGAUAACCAUUGGAAACGAUGGCUAAUACCGCAUAAUAGCUUCGGCUCAAAGAGGGGGACCUUCGGGCCUCUCGCGUCAGGAUAUGCCCAGGUGGGAUUAGCUAGUUGGUGAGGUAAGGGCUCACCAAGGCAACGAUCCCUAGCUGGCCUGAGAGGAUGAUCAGCCACACUGGAACUGAGACACGGUCCAGACUCCUACGGGAGGCAGCAGUGGGGAAUAUUGCACAAUGGGCGCAAGCCUGAUGCAGCCAUGCCGCGUGUAUGAAGAAGGCCUUCGGGUUGUAAAGUACUUUCAGCAGUGAGGAAGGUUCAUACGUUAAUAGCGUAUGGAUUUGACGUUAGCUGCAGAAGAAGCACCGGCUAACUCCGUG